rnacentral:rRNA from 1 species
GACGAACGCUGGCGGCGUGCCUAAUACAUGCAAGUAGAACGCUGAAGGAGGAGCUUGCUUCUCUGGAUGAGUUGCGAACGGGUGAGUAACGCGUAGGUAACCUGCCUGGUAGCGGGGGAUAACUAUUGGAAACGAUAGCUAAUACCGCAUAAUAGUAGAUGUUGCAUGACAUUUGCUUAAAAGGUGCAAUUGCAUCACUACCAGAUGGACCUGCGUUGUAUUAGCUAGUUGGUGGGGUAACGGCUCACCAAGGCGACGAUACAUAGCCGACCUGAGAGGGGGAUCGGCCACACUGGGACUGAGACACGGCCCAGACUCCUACGGGAGGCAGCAGUAGGGAAUCUUCGGCAAUGGACGGAAGUCUGACCGAGCAACGCCGCGUGAGUGAAGAAGGUUUUCGGAUCGUAAAGCUCUGUUGUAAGAGAAGAACGAGUGUGAGAGUGGAAAGUUCACACUGCGACGGUAUCUUACCAGAAAGGGACGGCUAACUACGUG